GUGCGUAGUAAAUGAGAGCAGUCCUUCCGCCAAUCAGAGGAAGCCAACGCGGGCUCAAAGACAGAGGAAAAGGAAGCCUUGUUGCCGCCAUUUCACGUGAAAGCAGCGAGGCAGGAGAGAGAGAGACAGAUCCAGGGCUCGGCGAAUUCUGAGAUAAGCUUUUUAGACGGAUAAAAUGAGCUACGGAAGGCCGCCGCCUGACGUCGAGGGAAUGACCUCCCUCAAAGUGGACAACCUGACUUAUCGGACUUCACCGGAGACGCUGCGUCGAGUGUUCGAGAAGUAUGGCCGCGUGGGAGACGUGUACAUCCCCCGGGACCGCUACACCAAGGAGAGCCGAGGAUUUGCCUUUGUGCGGUUUCUCGACAAGCGUGACGCCGAGGAUGCAAUGGACGCAAUGGACGGCGCGCUUCUCGACGGGCGGGAGCUUCGGGUGCAGAUGGCCCGUUAUGGAAGACCACCAGAUUCUAUGUACGGACGGCGAGGUGCUCCGCCACGCCGAUAUGGCGGCCGCUCAGCCAGCCCCCGUCGCCGCAGGCGUAGCCGGAGCCGCUCCAGGAGCAGAAGCCAUUCCCGAUCCAGGAGCCGCCACCACUACAGCCGCUCCAGGUCCCGCUCUUAUUCCAGGUCCAGAUCCAAGUCCAAGUCUAAGUCCAAGUCCAGAACCCCCAGACGAAGCAAGACAAAGUCUCCCUCCAGGUCUCGCUCCCGCUCCAGAUCCAAGUCAAGGAGCAGAACCCCGCCUUCCAACAGAGGGUCAAAAUCCAAGUCCAGAUCCAGGUCCAGGUCCAAAUCCAAGAGUAGGCCUAAGUCACCAGAGGACAACGGAACCGAGCCUUAACCCACACAUGGACGCAGGAUGACGCUGCGGAGUCCUGUUUGCAAAGAGAGGAGGAGGAGAUGGGGGUGUGGCAGUGUGAGAGCAGUUAGUGUGUGACCCGCCCAUGUGACCUGCCUGUUGCUGAGAGCGAUGGCUGUUGCUAAGGAGCAGGUCACCAAGGCAACGGUGGUUGCUAUGGAGCAGGUCGUCAUGGCGGUGGUUCGGGCUGUCAGUUGGUGUAUGAGGUGGUGAGGUGAGAUCUCAGAUGACUGAGCCUUUGCCGAGGACAUCCGGAAGAAUCUCACAUUGAGCAAGUGGAUUCCAUUAUAAUGAAUGCAGACUGAAAGGUUAUUGGAGCUUGAUCUAAAUUGUUUUAAAUGUUACAUUUGACUUAAUUUGCUUUAAUUUUGAAACAUUGAUGUCAUUCUUUAUAAAGCUGAGCAUAUUGAAAGGGAUUUGUGAGGUGUCCCCCAUUAAAUUGUUUUUUUGUUUUUGUUUUUUUUUUAAUUGGUCUUGUUUUGAAUUUGUUCUUAAUAAAGUUUUCACACAGAAUAUUUCUUUUAAAUGAAACCCCUUGUUAAUUGAUUUUUCCAGAUUAUUUAGAAAAGGUCUUUUUGGAUGUUACAGCUGUGUAACACCACUCUGGGGAAAAUGGAUUGCUGUACAGUAACCUAAGCAAAAACUAAAAAGUAACGCAGUGCUACUUAAUAUUUGACUUGCUAAUCUGGCAUCUUAGUGUUUUCUACUCUGUCAAAUCUGUUUUCUGUCUGGUCAAGAGAAUUUUUCCUAUGACUCUAACCUUCUUUCUUGUGUAUCUUUUGUGCACUAGGCGCAGUUGUGUAGCAGUUGAGUAAUGCUGGUUAGCUGUUAAGAUGCGGUGCAGUGCGGUGGUGACAUGGUGUGGCGUGUUGCGGUGCUGAGUGCCCGGCACUGUUCCGGGGCUCGACCCUCCGCUGCUGUUUGGCGGUUUGUAAGCUCACAGGUGUGGCAGAUCAUCCAUCCUCUUGUCUUGUGACCUUCUUCCCUCCAUGUCCUAUUCAAAUUCUUCCUCUUCAUUCUCCCUCUUUUCCUUUCCCUCUGUGGUUUUUCCACUGAAAUCUGGCCUUGCUCGCAAUUGGAAUUUGAGUCCAAUGUGACUUGUAAUGAAGGGUUUUAGAGGCAGUUCAACUGCUUCAUGAAUAAAUUCUGUGUAUUGCAUUCCUCUGUAAACCUCUCAAAUGUCUUGUAAUUGCUUCAGGUAAAUGCUAAUAAAUAUGUUGUCGGAAA